rnacentral:rRNA from 1 species
AUUGAACGCUGGCGGCAGGCUUAACACAUGCAAGUCGAGCGGGGUGAUGGUGCUUGCACUAUCACUUAGCGGCGGACGGGUGAGUAAUGCUUAGGAAUCUGCCUAUUAGUGGGGGACAACAUCUCGAAAGGGAUGCUAAUACCGCAUACGUCCUACGAGAGAAAGCAGGGGAUCACUUGUGACCUUGCGCUAAUAGAUGAGCCUAAGUCGGAUUAGCUGGUUGGUGGGGUAAAGGCCUACCAAGGCGACGAUCUGUAGCGGGUCGGAGAGGAUGAUCCGCCACACUGGGACUGAGACACGGCCCAGACUCCUACGGGAGGCAGCAGUGGGGAAUAUUGGACAAUGGGGGGAACCCUGAUCCAGCCAUGCCGCGUGUGUGAAGAAGGCCUUAUGGUUGUAAAGCACUUUAAGCGAGGAGGAGGCUCUUUUGGUUAAUACCCAAGAUGAGUGGACGUUACUCGCAGAAUAAGCACCGGCUAACUCUGUGCCAGCAGCCGCUGUAA